rnacentral:rRNA from 1 species
AACGAACGCUGGCGGCAUGCCUAACACAUGCAAGUCGAACGAGACCUUCGGGUCUAGUGGCGCACGGGUGCGUAACGCGUGGGAACCUGCCCUUAGGUUCGGAAUAACUCCCCGAAAGGGGUGCUAAUACCGGAUAAUGUCUUCGGACCAAAGAUUUAUCGCCUUUGGAUGGGCCCGCGUUGGAUUAGCUAGUUGGUAGGGUAAAAGCCUACCAAGGCGACGAUCCAUAGCUGGUCUGAGAGGAUGAUCAGCCACACUGGGAAUGAGACACGGCCCAGACUCGUACGGGAGGCAGCAGUGGGGAAUAUUGGACAAUGGGCGAAAGCCUGAUACGGCAAUGCCGCGGGAGUGAUGAAGGGCUUAGGGUUGUAAAGCUCUUUUACCCGAGAUGAUAAUGACAGUACCGGGAGAAUAAGCACCGGCUAACUCCGUG